rnacentral:snRNA from 1 species
AAGUGUUACAGCACUUUUAGAAUUUGUCUAGCAGAUUUUCUGGUUUUAACCAGACCCC